GACGAACGCUGGCGGCGUGCCUAAUACAUGCAAGUCGAACGCAGUGGCGAACGGGUGAGUAACGCGUAGGUAACUGCCUCAUAGCGGGGGAUAACUAUUGGAAACGAUAGCUAAUACCGCAUACCGUGGGAUGGACCUGAGUUGUAUUGGCUAUUUGGUGAGGUAAAGGCUCAACAAGGCGCCGAUACCUAGCCGACCUGAGAGGGUGAUCGGCCCCACGGGGACUGAGACACGGCCCAGACUCCUCCGGGAGGCAGCAGUAGUGAAUCUUCGGCAAUGGACGGAAGUCUGACCGAGCAACGCCGCGUGAGUGAAGAAGGUUUUCGGAUCGUAAAGCUCUGUUGUUAGAGAAGCGGUAACUACCCAGAAAGGGACGGCUAACUACGUGCCAGCAGCCGCGGUAAUUC
rnacentral:rRNA from 1 species